rnacentral:rRNA from 1 species
UACGUAGGUGGCAAGCGUUGUCCGGAUUUACUGGGCGUAAAGAGCGCUCAGGCGGUCGUGCAAGUCGCGUGUGAAAGCCCCCGGCUCAACUGGGGAGGGUCACGCGAUACUGCUCGACUUGAAGGCAGGAGAGGGAAGUGGAAUUCCCGGUGUAGUGGUGAAAUGCGUAGAUAUCGGGAGGAACACCAGUGGCGAAGGCGACUUCCUGGCCUGUUCUUGACGCUGAGGCGCGAAAGCUAGGGUAGCAAACGGG